rnacentral:rRNA from 1 species
UACGGGGGGAGCAAGCGUUGUUCGGAUUUACUGGGCGUAAAGGGCGCGUAGGCGGCGUGACAAGUCACUUGUGAAAUCUCCGGGCUUAACUCGGAACGGUCAAGUGAUACUGUCGGACUAGAGUACAGAAGGGGCAACUGGAAUUCUCGGUGUAGCGGUGAAAUGCGUAGAUAUCUGGAGGAACACCCGUGGUGCAGACGGCUUGCUGGACCGUGACUGACGCUGAGGCACGAAAGCGUGGGUAGCAAACAGG